rnacentral:misc_RNA from 1 species
GAUGAAGAACGUAGCGAAAUGCGAUAAGUAAUGUGAAUUGCAGAAUUCAGUGAAUCAUCGAAUCUUUGAACGCACAUUGCGCCCGCCAGCACUCUGGCGGGCAUGCCUGUUCGAGCGUCAUUUCAACCAUCAAGCCCCCAGGGGCUUGUGCUGGGGCCCUGCGGCUGCCCGCAGGCCCUGAAAACCAGUGGCGGGCUCGCUAGUCACACCGAGCGCAGUAGCACAUCUCGCUCAGGGCGUGCGGCGGGCUCCUGCCGUGAAACCCCCCACUGUAACCCCAAAGGUUGACCUCGGAUCAGGUAGGAAUACCCGCUGAACUUAAGCAUAUCAAUAAGCGGGGA